rnacentral:rRNA from 1 species
UUAAACGUUUAUACUACGUUGAAUACACCGGUUCUCGUCCGAUCACCGAAGUUAAGCAACGUCGGCCGCGGUCAGUACUUGGAUGGGUGAUCGUCUGGGAACACCGUGUGACGUUGGCU